AAUGCCUGAGCGCUCAGGCCGAGAGUUCAGUGCCCACACCACAGAGCCUGAGAGCUGGAACAGUGAACAUCUGUGUGCAGGUUGUCUUCAUUCCUGUAUUACUGUGUCUGCAACUGGGUGAUCCUGUGUGUGAGGAGCACAUUUGCACAUGAGUCUUUGGGCCUGUUGUGCAUUUCAUCCUGUUGGCCUGGCCUGUGAGUUUGAUCAUUAGAAGUAGAGGCUGAGCAGCCGAGGAAAGAAGAGGAGCUGGGCAGGUGAAAAUCCAGUCCUGGGCUUGCCUGCAACACUCAAGUGAUUGGAGGAGGGCGUGGGGCUGCUGCGGUGACGGGAUCGGCUGGACAAAGACUGCGUGUGCCUAGGGUUGCGGAGGCAGGAGUCAGCACCCAAGCACUGAGAGGAGGAGGCCCAGGGCAGCUGGCCUCCCGUGCCUCUCGUCUGUGUCAAGACAUUGGUCAGCAGCUUCUUGAAGAUGCCAGUGGGGCAGUCUGGGAGUUUGUGUUGGAGAAAAGCCUUUUUCGCAAAGUGUGUCUGCUGUGCCCAAGAUUCAACAUAGGGCUUUUGGAAGAGAUCCCUAUGAUGCUGACCUCCCAGAAGACCCCAUCCGAGCUUGCAUGAGUCCUUUCAACUGUGGGAUGGCCUCAUUUCACCUUGCUCCUCUUACUUGCAGGAGCAGCACUGGGGGUGUAUAAAGGCUCAUAGCCUGUCUUCGGGAAUCCAGGAAUCCAGAAGCGCCCAUGUUUGCAUCCACUGCGGAGAGCCUGAGCCGUUCAGCAGGGAGGCUGUUCCUGGUCUCUGUGUGCAUGCUUGUGAAGGUGCACACGUUUGAUUAAGGAGCGCUCCAGAGCUGGGGUCAGCAAA